AUUGAACGCUGGCGGCAGGCUUAACACAUGCAAGUCGAGCGGGGGAAGGUAGCUUGCUACCGGACCUAGCGGCGGACGGGUGAGUAAUGCUUAGGAAUCUGCCUAUUAGGGGGGGACAACAUCUCGAAAGGGAUGCUAAUACCGCAUACGUCCUACGGGAGAAAGCAGGGGAUCUUCGGACCUUGCGCUAAUAGAUGAGCCUAAGUCGGAUUAGCUAGUUGGUGGGGUAAGGGCCUACCAAGGCGACGAUCUGUAGCGGGUCUGAGAGGAUGAUCCGCCGCACUGGGACUGAGACACGGCCCAGACUCCUACGGGAGGCAGCAGUGGGGAAUAUUGGACAAUGGGGGGAACCCUGAUCCAGCCAUGCCGCGUGUGUGACGAAGGCCUUAUGGUUGUAAAGCACUUUAAGCGAGGAGGAGGCUACUCUAGUUAAUACCUAGGGAUAGUGGACGUUACUCGCAGAAUAAGCACCGGCUAACUCUGUGCCAGCCGCCGCGGUAA
rnacentral:rRNA from 1 species